rnacentral:rRNA from 1 species
GUUAUAGGGACAAGUGAAUAAGUGCACAUGGCGGAUGCCUUGGCGAUUACAGGCGAUGAAGGACGUAGUAGCUUGCGAUAAGCUGCGGGGAGCUAGCAAACAAGCUUUGAUCCGCAGAUUUCCGAAUGGGGAAACCCACCCUUUUAGGGUAUCACCCACUGAAUACAUAGGUGUGUGAGGCGAACGCGGCGAACUGAAACAUCUAAGUAGCUGCAGGAAAAGAAAUCAACCGAGAUUCCCAAAGUAGUGGCGAGCGAAAUGGGAAGAGCCUGUACGUGAUAGU